rnacentral:rRNA from 1 species
ACCCCUACGGGAGGCAGCAGUGGGGAAUAUUGCACAAUGGGGGAAAACCUGAUGCAGCGACGCCGCGUGAGUGAAGAAGAAUUUCGGUAUGUAAAGCUCUAUCAGCAGGGAAGAAAAUGACGGUACCUGACCAAGAAGCCCCGGCUAACUACGUGCCAGCAGCCGCGGUAAUACGUAGGGGGCAAGCGUUAUCCGGAAUUACUGGGUGUAAAGAGAGCGUAGACGGUGAUGCAAGUCUGGAGUGAAAGGCGGGGGCCCAACCCCCGGGCUGCUCUGGAAACUGUAUGACUUGAGUGCAGGCGAGG